rnacentral:rRNA from 1 species
AGGGUGACAGCCCCGUACACAAAAAUGCACAUGCUGUGAGCUCGAUGAGUAGGGCGGGACACGUGGUAUCCUGUCUGAAUAUGGGGGGACCAUCCUCCAAGGCUAAAUACUCCUGACUGACCGAUAGUGAACCAGUACCGUGAGGGAAAGGCGAAAAGAACCCCGGCGAGGGGAGUGAAAAAGAACCUGAAACCGUGUACGUACAAGCAGUGGGAGCCUCUUAAUGGGGUGACUGCGUACCUUUUGUAUAAUGGGUCAGCGACUUAUAUUCUGUAGCAAGGUUAACCGAAUAGGGGAGCCGAAGGGAAACCGAGUCUUAACUGGGCGUUAAGUUGCAGGGUAUAGACCCGAAACCCGGUGAUCUAGCCAUGGGCAGGUUGAAGGUUGGGUAACACUAACUGGAGGACCGAACCGACUAAUGUUGAAAAAUUAGCGGAUGACUUGUGGCUGGGGGUGAAAGGCCAAUCAAACCGGGAGAUAGCUGGUUCUCCCCGAAAGCUAUUUAGGUAGCGCCUCGUGAAUUCAUCUCCGGGGGUAGAGCACUGUUUCGGCAAGGGGGUCAUCCCGACUUACCAACCCGAUGCAAACUGCGAAUACCGGAGAAUGUUAUCACGGGAGACACACGGCGGGUGCUAACGUCCGUCGUGAAGAGGGAAACAACCCAGACCGCCAGCUAAGGUCCCAAAGUCAUGGUUAAGUGGGAAACGAUGUGGGAAGGCCCAGACAGCCAGGAUGUUGGCUUAGAAGCAGCCAUCAUUUAAAGAAAGCGUAAUAGCUCACUGGUCGAGUCGGCCUGCGCGGAAGAUGUAACGGGGCUAAACCAUGCACCGAAGCUGCGGCAGCGACGCUUAUGCGUUGUUGGGUAGGGGAGCGUUCUGUAAGCCUGUGAAGGUGUGCUGUGAGGCAUGCUGGAGGUAUCAGAAGUGCGAAUGCUGACA